UACGUAGGUGACAAGCGUUGUCCGGAUUUACUGGGCGUAAAGAGCGCGCAGGCGGUCGUUCAAGUCGAGUGUGAAAGCCCCCGGCUCAACUGGGGAGGGUCACUCGAUACUGAUCGACUCGAAGGCAGGAGAGGGAAGUGGAAUUCCCGGUGUAGUGGUGAAAUGCGUAGAUAUCGGGAGGAACACCAAUUGCGAAGGCAGCUCGCUGGGACGAUACUGACGCUGAGGAGCGAAAGCGUGGGGAGCGAACAGG
rnacentral:rRNA from 1 species